rnacentral:rRNA from 1 species
GACGAACGCUGGCGGCGUGCUUAACACAUGCAAGUCGAACGGAAAGGCCCUGCUUUUGUGGGGUGCUCGAGUGGCGAACGGGUGAGUAACACGUGAGUAACCUGCCCUUGACUUUGGGAUAACUUCAGGAAACUGGGGCUAAUACCGGAUAGGAUCUCCUGCUGCAUGGUGGGGGAUGGAAAGUUUCGGCGGUUGGGGAUGGACUCGCGGCUUAUCAGCUUGUUGGUGGGGUAGUGGCUUACCAAGGCUUUGACGGGUAGCCGGCCUGAGAGGGUGACCGGCCACAUUGGGACUGAGAUACGGCCCAGACGCCUACGGGAGGCAGCAGUGGAGAAUAUUGCACAAUGGGCGGAAGCCUGAUGCGGCAACGCCGCGUGCGGGAUGACGGGCUUCGGGUUGUAAACUGCUUUCGCCUGUGACGAAGAGUGAGUGACGGUAAUGGGUAAAGAAGCACCGGCUAACUACGUG